AGUGGCAGAACAAUGAAUGAAGGAAAAUGGAGAGUAAAGGGCUAAGGAUAGAGAAGAAGAAAGGAUCGAAUUUUCUUGAUGGGGUGGCAACGUGAGAGAGAGAAGAAAGAAGCAACAACAUGUUCACGUUGGUAGCAGCGGCCAGAGAGAAUGAGGACCUCAACUCAACAAUUUGCUCUAUGCUUCACACACGUCAUUCUCUUAUAGUGUAUAGUUUUUUUUGGCAAAUUUUGUGGUACCCUGAAAUUCUUUUGGGUCCCGUAACCCGACUAGAUGAAAUUGUGAAAUUGAAAGGGAGAAAAAGAAAGAAGAUUAGACCUUUUAA